rnacentral:rRNA from 1 species
CGGGACACGUGGUAUCCUGUCUGAAUAUGGGGGGACCAUCCUCCAAGGCUAAAUACUCCUGACUGACCGAUAGUGAACCAGUACCGUGAGGGAAAGGCGAAAAGAACCCCGGCGAGGGGAGUGAAAAAGAACCUGAAACCGUGUACGUACAAGCAGUGGGAGCACGCUUAGGCGUGUGACUGCGUACCUUUUGUAUAAUGGGUCAGCGACUUAUAUUCUGUAGCAAGGUUAACCGAAUAGGGGAGCCGAAGGGAAACCGAGUCUUAACUGGGCGUUAAGUUGCAGGGUAUAGACCCGAAACCCGGUGAUCUAGCCAUGGGCAGGUUGAAGGUUGGGUAACACUAACUGGAGGACCGAACCGACUAAUGUUGAAAAAUUAGCGGAUGACUUGUGGCUGGGGGUGAAAGGCCAAUCAAACCGGGAGAUAGCUGGUUCUCCCCGAAAGCUAUUUAGGUAGCGCCUCGUGAAUUCAUC